rnacentral:rRNA from 1 species
UACGUAGGGGGCUAGCGUUAUCCAGAUUUACUGGGUGUAAAGGGAGCGUAGACGGCCAGACAAGUCUGAAGUGAAAAUCCAGCGCUUAACGUUGGAAGUGCUUUGGAAACUGCCGGGCUGGAGUGCAGGAGGGGCAGGCGGAAUUCCUAGUGUAGCGGUGAAAUGCGUAGAUAUUAGGAGGAACACCAGUGGCGAAGGCGGCCUGCUGGACUGCAACUGACGUUGAGGCUCGAAGGCGUGGGGAGCAAACAGG